CGUUGAUGAGCUUGUACAUUGCUGUUUUCUGGAUUUUUUCUUCCAGAAAGAUCGCUGUUCCUGAAAGAUCACUGUUACGGUGCUGCAACAAUACAUCGCUCAUUUCACUCUCAACUCUAAUGACUACACAAAACUAGCUGUAGAUAUUCACUUAGACAGGAUGUUGCUACAAGUUGAUCAAGAGGCCUGUGGCCAUUGCGAAAAAAAUCUUUAAGAGACACAAAAAACUAUAAAAGGCCAGAUUGUAACAGUCUGGAUUAGUUUUUUUUAUGUAGGGUAGACCAAGCUAGACGUCAGUCAUACUGUGUAUCUGAUGACGGCUAAGACUGAUACAAUCCCACUGAUCGUGAUGGUGGUAGUCUUCGUGAAUACAAAGCAUGUGAUUUAUACCACAAUGCCUGGUACAGGUACAGAGUAACCUAAACAAAACAUCAGCCAAGACUGCAAGAGGCUCAAGCAUCCAAGAUGCAGUGGUGAGAGUGUGAGUUGUUACGAUUGUAAGUUAUGACUUGUUUUUAUCGACAUAUAUGCAGUCCAGACAUACAUGCAGUCCAAAUAUGAGCAGACAAGAAGAACUCAUUUCUUUCUCAAUCUUCUGACGAUGAGUAAUAAUUAUAGUGGUAAUAAUUAUAGUGUUUGAUGUUGUGACAAGGUUGUAACAACCAACCGGCUAGGUUGUAGACAACCUUGUCACAACCACAAACAACAUUGUCAUUUCUAUAUGGGAGGAUCUACUACACAAAAUUGGACGGGAUCGAAGUAUGGUAAUUCCAAUAAAAAUUAAUAAUGCUGUAACGGACCCCAAAAUCUCUCUCGAUACUUUUUUGAGCAGAACGGGUUUUGCACUGUACGUUUGCACUGUACGUAUUGAGUGGCGACACGUCUAUGCUCCUGAAAAGAUCUUUGAGUCCCAGUCCAAUGGGAUUUGUCAAAAUCUGAAUAAUCUGCCUUUUCACUAAAACUUUUAGUUGAAAAUAUUAGCAGACAUUUGGUACAACCUUUAACUGCUCCAUGGCCUACAAAUCCACAAACCUUCCUGCCGGCAGUACUACAGAUCAAAGCUGCUCUAACAAGUAAGGAUGAACCAUCCGUCUUCUGAAGAUCUUCAACUAAUGGUGUGAGGAAUGAGUUCAUGUGUAGAGAAGGUUCUUUAGGACCAGGUAUUUAUUAUGUAAAUAGCGUUCCGUUCUUGGUAGAUUCAAGACACUUAAGUAGAUGGCACCUUCAGAAUGUUGUGUAUGCUUAAAUGGAUUGAACCAAUCAACGUUUAACUGAAAUGCAUAAUUGCCCGGGAGUGUUAAAAACGGAUUACCAUUCGGAGCAAGGAAAUUCUUCCAAACAACACCAUCGUAUAUCCGAAUAAACACCAUCACUACUAGCUCGCUCACGCCACAAUUCGCAUUUGUCAAAAAAGCUAGGCCUUCUUAGCAUCUCUUGGAGAGAGAGACUGUAUGAUGCUUUGGUAACAGUAUAAAUGCCUUGGAUAAAACAUCACCCUUCCAUUUCUCAGCCUUACUUCUUUCAAGAGUAUUUCGUUACAAGGCUUGCGAUGUUGCACUUGAGGGUGGUUGGGAAACUUCACAUAGGAAUAGCGUUUUGACUCCGAUUUUUGAUUACGUGUUUCGUAGAAACACUCAUUCCUAGAGUACUAGAGUACAAGCUCUUACACGAAGGGCAACAUACAAAUUUCGUGAACUGAUGUUCUUGUCCACGUGCAGUCCUGAUGCCGUCUGGUAAUGCAUCCAAAAAGGAUUUGGGAAUUGCCACCAUGAAAAGGAAUAAAAACUUCAACAAAGUAUUAAGUGCUGUAUCUUAAAGAUCGUCUGAAACAUAAACAGGAAAAAUAGGUACAGUUGAACAAUGGCCUCCGUUUCAUCUAUGGCAUACAGUUAAGUCGAAUAAAUCAAAUAAAUUAGGAUCAUCAUCGUACGCUUCGAUCUCUUCUAAAACAUUCAACAUUCACCUGCAAUGUAUAAGAUUGGUUCAAACUGGCGUAUACAUGUAGCUAUUAAUUUAUUUACACAUGAAAACAAGUUCAGGUACAUGAAGCUAGGCCUACUUUACCUGUACAUCAUCAUCCUCUUCUGAUAUUACAUCAUCCUCUUCUGAUUCUACAUCACUUACUGCCAAUUCAUCAUAUUCUGAUUGCAAUCAGAUAAUCAGUCAAUAAUGAAUUCAUGUCAAUGAAUUACUAGAUCUAGAUCCGUGCACGGAUCACUACAAUUACGUACGUCCAGCCACUGAACUUGUAGUGAUACCAUAGAUGAUGCACUGUACAGAGCUAGCUAGAGCCAUAAUUAUCUGUAGCUUCUUGAUUAGGACUUGGAGAAGAUGAGGACUUGGAGAAGAUGAACGAGAUCUAUCCUUAGAUCUACAUAGAGGAUCAUUUGAACUCAGGUCUCUAGAGCCACAGUUUUCGAUCGAAAACACUUCGUCAUAAGCGGUCUGAUUGAAUACUCGUUUACUUUUCCAUUCACAAAUUCUUACGUCAUAGUACAAACGGCGAUGCUCCGUUUUGAAACUCUCUCUGAGCAGUGUCCACAGACGACAAGCUUGGGUCUUGCAGUGUCCAUAGUAUUCAGUAUUCAGCUGGUAUUAAAAUUCUGGAUGGUGCUCUCUAUUUAGAUGUUAAAAGAUCAUAAGCAGCAUGACCUCUUGACCUCGAACUAAAGUGAUGUCACAUGACAAUCUUGGGUGUUUCAUUGGUACAUUUAGGCGCCAAGCAUAGGCUAGCUAUGAGUACCUAUAGAACAGCUAGGCCUAGUAGCCUGGCUAGUAGAUUUGUGUCUUCGAGCCACAGACGUUCUAGGAAUUCCUACACCGCUGAUGUGAAGUAGCAGAGAGAAUUUCAACUGAUCUAGGAGGUUUGAGACUGUCUGCGACUGUCUGCACAAAACAAUAAUUUUUUUAAUAUAGACAUUUAUUUUCUGCAGAACUCGAUCUACAUCAACUCCUUCUCAAGCGCGAGGAGGAGGAGCAAGACCACUAUAUGCGUAUUUACAGUGGUAGCUUUCGUUCACUUGCGGAUCUGUAAGAUCCAGAUGCAGAUCUAGAUGUAGAUGAUGAAGCUGAUCUCCCAAGAAGCUGAUCUCCCUGGGACAUAUGAAGCAGAAACUCCCCAGUCAGGAACAAGUGCGGUAGAACAAGUGCGGUAACUCCUUCAUGGACAUCGAGGAACUGGUGACAUCAACUUGGUUGCUCUUAUUCAAGAGCAGCAGCAAUUGACCUCCAGACAAGACGAUUUUCAGUCGAAACUUUCUGAGUUAACAAGCAAGGUGAACUCAUACUCUGGCAGCUCCGCCGAUAGCAGCCCUGCACAUGUACUUACAGAGGAAGGUAGCAGCACAUUAUGAAGCGGAAGGUCCUUGAUGCUAUAAUUAUGAAUAUGUAAAUUGUAUUGUAUACAGAUCAACAUCUGAGUAUAUCAACAUCCGAGUAUAAUGUUGCCAUUAAGAACAAGAUUGUCACAGAGAUUUGUUCAAUGCCUGACUGUCAGUAUCAGCAAGCAUCAGCAAGAAGCUCUGCUGUACAGCGCAAGUACGAAAGUGUUCGUAGACAGUGGAUUAUGAAAGGAAAGGAAAACUUUGACCAACUGUCAGUCUAAAAAUAAGAAGUAUAGAGCCAGACGAAAAAGACUCAGCAGGCAGCACAACCGUAGCUCUAUUCUCAUAUUGCGAGUGAUCCCAACAACUUGAUAAUUCAUUGCGGUGCUCUCAACAACUGACGGACUUACUCUUGACCCUUAGUACUCUUGACCCUUAGUCGCCAGGAAAACAAGAAAGACACCAUUCUUUCUACAAAUCCACCUCGGCCAGAUAUCUCAGAUUGGAUGAUAGCUCCAGAAUGGAAGAGAGAUUCAACUGCUGCUCUGUCUGAAAUAAACUGAACUGAAACUGACUAU